AGUGCUUCACAGGGUCUGGAAGAGUGAAGGAUAGCAGUGCAGUGAUGGCUGACCCACUGCCAUUCCAUUCCGGUAUAUCCCUGUGCAGGAAGUCACAACCAAGUAUCCGGGCUUUUACAUUGACAAGAUGACCUAGAAACAGAAGAUGCUGGGAACUCUGGACAUGGAGAUUUUGAUUUAGAAUGCUGCAGGGACAAUUUAGGUCGAUACCAUCACUCAAGCUUUUUCACUGUCUAUUUUUUUUUGGUCACAGAGACUCAAAUAUUUAAAGCAUAUGUCACACACACAACUGUGGAAAAAUUAAUGAAAUGUCCAACAUGUUAUUUCACACCCGUCAAGUUUAGUUUUUUCCAUCAGUCAUUUUCAUAUAGGAAAAUAAACACACCCUAUUUCAAGUUA